AGGUGAUGAAUUGAUUAUUUGCAGUUAAUCGGUAUUAACAACUAUUUAUUUGCUACUCAACACUGGAUGGAAGUGACUGAGCGGGAUUCAAGUGCUAAGGAGUGGGCGAAUGUAAAAGGGGAAACGGCAUAAGAAGAAAAAUCAAUAGGAAUCUGUCGUAGUUGUAGUCAAAGUUGAGUGCAACGGAAAAUUUUGCUUUGUGCCAAAAGUAGCCAAAGUGCCGAGUAAUGUGUAA